rnacentral:lncRNA from 1 species
ACAUAAAUUAAUCAAGUUGUUUCAUCUACAGCCUCCGAUAAGUAUGAUUUUUACACUUGCGUUUGGGAGUUCUUUUGUGGGUUAGAUACUUAAUUUUGUGCGUUCAUUGAUUAUUUUACGAGAAAGGAUGAAAGGAACAAGAUUUGAUCAAUAAGGACUAAAGUUGGAGGAAUUUGGAAUUGAGGACCAAAGUAUCAAAUUUGAAAAUUAAAGGGACCACAAGAAAGGCAAUUGAAGAACCAAAUUGCACGGAAAUGGAAAAAGGUGCAAGGGUCCCUGCACCUUCACCAGAAGAAAUAGGAAUAAAUCUCCCUGUCCCCAACCCGGGACAGGGAGCAGGGUUGAAGAAAUAGUUUUCUUCCACUAUUUUCAAAGAUGAGAUGCAUUCGAGUAAAGGUACACAAUUUCAUCAUUAGAUACUCAAAGAUUUUUUGUUAGAAAUCAAGAAUUGAAGGCAAAAUACCAUAAAUUCGAGGGAGAUCUACAAUAACCAAGGAAUAGGUUGAAGAAUCAUUGUUGGGAUUCGUGUGGCGAAGAUCAACGAUUGUUCGAGUUUCUUUUCUCUUUAUUCAUUUUAAAUGUAGCAAGUGAUGCUCUUUAUCCUUCAUUUGUAUUUUUCUGCAACUAUGAGC